rnacentral:lncRNA from 1 species
UUGGUUAGAUGAAAAAAUAUCAUAAGGGAAAAAAAUUAGAAGUAUUGAGAGACUCGAUAGUUUAUUUGGUUGGGUGCGAGUUAAAACUGAUAAGGAUGCUAGAGAAAUGAUGUUUGGACGAGAUGACAUCAGUUUGAUUGUUGUAAUCAGUUAAAAAUGUUAUGUUUUAAGUUUGCUUAUGUUGUAGUGAUGUUUAUUGUUAACCUUAUUGUAAC